UACGUAGGGUGCAAGCGUUGUUCGGAAUCAUUGGGCGUAAAGCGCGUGUAGGUUGCUAGUAAAGUCUUGUGUGAAAUCCCUCGGCUCAACCGGGGAAGUGCAUGGGAAACUCAUUAGCUGGAAGAUGGUAGAGGAAGGUGGAAUUCCAAGUGUAGAGGUGAAAUUCGUAGAUAUUUGGAGGAAUACCGGUGGCGAAGGCGGCCUUCUGGACCAUUCUUGACACUGAGACGCGAAAGCGUGGGGAGCAAACAGG
rnacentral:rRNA from 1 species